rnacentral:rRNA from 1 species
AACGAACGCUGGCGGCGUGCCUAACACAUGCAAGUCGGACGAGAAGUACGUAGCAAUACGUAUUGUAAAGUGGCGCACGGGUGAGUAACACGUGGGUAAUCUGCCCUCGAGCUUGGGAUAACCCCGCGAAAGCGGGGCUAAUACCGGAUAAGACCACGGAGACCAAAGUCUCUGAGGUAAAAGGUGGCCUCUAUUUAUAAGCUACCACUUGAGGAUGAGCCCGCGGCCCAUUAGCUAGUUGGCAGGGUAACGGCCUACCAAGGCAAUGAUGGGUAGCUGGUAUGAGGGGACGAUCAGCCACACUGGAACUGAGACACGGUCCAGACUCCUACGGGAGGCAGCAGUGGGGAAUAUUGCGCAAUGGGCGAAAGCCUGACGCAGCAACGCCGCGUGGGGGAUGAAGGUUCUCGGAUUGUAAACCCCUUUCGAUCGGAACGAAUCCCCUCCUGGUAAAUAAUCAGGAGGAUCGACGGUACCGAGAGAAGAAGCCACGGCUAACUCUGUGCCAGCCGCCGCGGUAACAC